rnacentral:rRNA from 1 species
CCCUUAGAUGUUCUGGGCCACACGCGCGUUACACUGAUGAAGCCAGCGAGUAUAUCGCCUUCACCGGAAGGUGCGGGUAAUCUUGUGAAACUUCAUCGUGCUGGGGAUAGACCAUUGCAAUUAUUGGUCUUGAACGAGAAAUUCCUAGUAAGCAUGAGUCAUCAACUCGUGCUGAUUACGUCCCUGCCCUUUGUACACACCGCCCGUCGCUACUACCGAUUGAAUGGUUUAGUGAGAUCUCGGGAUUGGAGACGUUGCGCCGCAAGGCACAUCGUCCUCGAGAACUUGAUCAAACUUGAUCAUUUAGAGGAAGUAAAAGUCGUAACA